AGGAUGAACGCUGGCGGCGUGCUUAACACAUGCAAGUCGAACGAUGAAGGCUGGAGCUUGCUCUGGCUGGUUAAAAAAAAAAGUGGCGAACGGGUGAGUAACACGUGAGUAACCUGCCCCCGACUCUGGGAUAAGCGCUGGAAACGGCGUCUAAUACCGGAUACGAGCUUCCGCCGCAUGGUGAGGAGCUGGAAAGAAUUUCGGUCUGGGAUGGACUCGCGGCCUAUCAGCUUGUUGGUGAGGUAAUGGCUCACCAAGGCGACGACGGGUAGCCGGCCUGAGAGGGUGACCGGCACACUGGGACUGAGACACGGCCCAGACUCCGUACGGGAGGCAGCAGGUGGGGAUAUUGCACAAGUGGGCGCAAGCCUGAUGCAGCAACGCGCGGUAGAGGACGAACGGCCGUUCGGUAGUAACCUUCGUUUAGUAGGAAGAAGCGAAAGUGACGUACGUAGACGAAGAAAACG
rnacentral:rRNA from 1 species